CUAAUACAUGCAGUCGAGCGGAUCGAUGGGAGCUUGCUCCCUGAGAUCAGCGGCGGACGGGUGAGUAACACGUGGGUAACCUGCCUGUAAGACUGGGAUAACUCCGGGAAACCGGGGCUAAUACCGGAUAACACCUACCCCCGCAUGGGGGAAGGUUGAAAGGUGGCUUCGGCUAUCACUUACAGAUGGACCCGCGGCGCAUUAGCUAGUUGGUGAGGUAACGGCUCACCAAGGCGACGAUGCGUAGCCGACCUGAGAGGGUGAUCGGCCACACUGGGACUGAGACACGGCCCAGACUCCUACGGGAGGCAGCAGUAGGGAAUCUUCCGCAAUGGACGAAAGUCUGACGGAGCAACGCCGCGUGAGUGAAGAAGGUUUUCGGAUCGUAAAACUCUGUUGUUAGGGAAGAACAAGUGCCGUUCGAAUAGGGCGGCACCUUGACGGUACCUAACCAGAAAGCCACGGCUAACUACGUGCCAGCAGCCGCGGUAAUACGUAGGUGGCAAGCGUUGUCCGGAAUUAUUGGGCGUAAAGCGCGCGCAGGUGGUUUCUUAAGUCUGAUGUGAAAGCCCACGGCUCAACCGUGGAGGGUCAUUGGAAACUGGGGAACUUGAGUGCAGAAGAGGAAAGUGGAAUUCCAAGUGUAGCGGUGAAAUGCGUAGAUAUUUGGAGGAACACCAGUGGCGAAGGCGACUUUCUGGUCUGUAACUGACACUGAGGCGCGAAAGCGUGGGGAGCAAACAGGAUUAG
rnacentral:rRNA from 1 species